AAACCCCCCUGAAGGGAUAGGCGAACACCCGCAAGACUUUUUGAACUGCGGAAAGUAUUAUAGUGUUUUCAAGUAUCUUUUUGAAGAAAAAGAAAAUUUUGAACAAAAGAUUAAGUUCACACGUCAUUAAUUGUAAAAGUUAUUGAUUCCUGUGGGGAAUAAAAAUGGGGGAAAUGAGCUGUUUGAGAGUCCAUGUCAAUCAAACGAUUUCAUCAGCCAAUGCAAGUGACCAGCAUUGACGUUUCAUUAUCUUCAAUUGCCACCCCCCACAAAAACUACCUAGGCUGAAAUCAUCAUUCUGUAGAGUUACCUGGAUGACGACGAGCAGUAAUGCGAUGCCGGAUAGCCAACCGGUUUUAGGUUCCAUCCAGCGAGCGAAUUCUUCCGCGCAACCACCACCCGCAAUAUUUCCGGUCGAAGGAUUGCGGCACUCGUCUGGCAAGACCUUGUUAAACGCCGCAUAGUCUUUCCAGUCGGAAGGACCGCAACAUUCAAUCUGUCACCAUUUUCAUAACGAUGCGUGCAGAUCUUUCGUUGUGAUCCAUCUCGUGAAAGAGGACAAAGAAGCGCUCCUCCAACCACGGAGUCAAGUCAGACUUGUAGAUUCCAUGAUCGAGAGUGUAGGCUAGUCCGGCUAUCCCCAGAAUGACCGACAAAACGCUGCCCAUCACGAACUGU